GAUGAACGCUGGCGGCGUGCCUAAUACAUGCAAGUCGAGCGAACAGACGAGGAGCUUGCUCCUCUGACGUUAGCGGCGGACGGGUGAGUAACACGUGGAUAACCUACCUAUAAGACUGGGAUAACUUCGGGAAACCGGAGCUAAUACCGGAUAAUAUAUUGAACCGCAUGGUUCAAUAGUGAAAGACGGUUUUGCUGUCACUUAUAGAUGGAUCCGCGCCGCAUUAGCUAGUUGGUAAGGUAACGGCUUACCAAGGCAACGAUGCGUAGCCGACCUGAGAGGGUGAUCAGCCACACUGGAACUGAGACACGGUCCAGACUCCUACGGGAGGCAGCAGUAGGGAAUCUUCCGCAAUGAGCGAAAGCCUGACGGAGCAACGCCGCGUGAGUGAUGAAGGUCUGCGGAUCGUAAAACUCUGUUAUUAGGGAAGAACAAAUGUGUAAGUAACUAUGCACGUCUUGACGGUACCUAAUCAGAAAGCCACGGCUAACUACGUG
rnacentral:rRNA from 1 species